rnacentral:lncRNA from 1 species
UGUUCAUGGUAUGUUAUAGCUAACUCUCUUUUAAGUUGACAAUUCUAACUGGAGCUAUGAUAUGACAUAGGCUCUACCAAAUACAUUCUUUUUGAUUUGGAUCUGGGCUCUUACAUAUACAUUCAAAUCUGGUUAGAGUCUCUAAAAAUUAUAAUAUGUUCUAAUUAGGAUGGUUUUCAUCAGAAGUGACUGGCAAAUGAUAAAUAGGAAAUACUGCUGGUAGAAAUGAAUAGCGAGAUUGAUCUUCCAAAUGGAGCUAAAAAUUACUUAUUUACUGCUGAGACUACUGGAGCUCAUGACAUGUGUUAAAAUAAGGCGGUCUGGCUUUAACGAUGCCAGUAACACUUCCAUUGAAGCCUUGGGGAUUCUUUCA